rnacentral:lncRNA from 10 species
CAGCAUAAGAAGUGAUUGAGCCACAAGUAUACUGAAGGAAGGGCUCCCUCGAGUUCUGGUGUGAAGAGAUAAAUCACCAGGCCCAGUCGAAGAAUAUCAGCUGCUGCUUCAGGUGACCUAUAGAGAUUCCAAGGAGAAAAGAGAUUUGAGAAAUUUUCUGAAGCUCUUGAAGCCUCCAUUAUUAUGGUCACAUGGGCUAAUUAGAAUUAUCAGAGCAAAGGCUACCACAGACUGCAACAGCCUGAAUGGAGUCCUGCAGUGUACCUGUGAAGACAGCUACACCUGGUUUCCUCCCUCAUGCCUUGAUCCCCAGAACUGCUACCUUCACACGGCUGGAGCACUCCCAAGCUGUGAAUGUCAUCUCAACAACCUCAGCCAGAGUGUCAAUUUCUGUGAGAGAACAAAGAUUUGGGGCACUUUCAAAAUUAAUGAAAGGUUUACAAAUGACCUUUUGAAUUCAUCUUCUGCUAUAUACUCCAAAUAUGCAAAUGGAAUUGAAAUUCAACUUAAAAAAGCAUAUGAAAGAAUUCAAGGUUUUGAGUCGGUUCAGGUCACCCAAUUUCGGUAAGUAACACAAUGGUCUUAGAAGGGCAUCCCCAGAAUUGGGCACCAGUUCUGCAAAAGGCAGAGUGCUGUUUUUAGGUGACCCUGACAGAAAACAGGACAGAAGUCAUCUUUAUAGUAGGAUUUUUACUAAGUGAACAAGGAUCUGUGAUGCUUUAAAAAGUCUGAAGAGUAAAGCCUAGAUUCUCACUUAAAUGAGUUUAGGACCUUAAAUUUUUUUUUUUUUUUGACAGAAUGUCACUCUUGUCGCCCAAGUUGGAGUGCAAUGGCACAAUCUAGGCUCACUGCAACCCUGCAACCUCUGCCUACCGGGUUCAAGAGAUUCCCCUGCCUCAGCCUCCCAAGUAGCUGGAAUUACAGACACCUGCCACCACAUCCAGCUAACUUUUUUUGUAUUUUUAGUAGAGACAGGGUUUCACCAUGUUGGCCACACUGGUCUCAAACUCCUGACCUCAGGUGAUCCGCCUGCCUCGGCCCCCAAAGUGCUGGGAUUACAGGCAUGAGCCACCACAUCUGGCCUAGGACCUUAAAUAUUGGAAAGCAUUCUCAAAACUGUGGGUCAGUGAGUAGAACUACAAAACAAUAGCAGUAGGGCAGAAACUUGAAAGAAGGCAGGAGAUCAUGGUGACAGUGGAUGGGAAAAAGUGAGGGUUGGGGAUAAGGGUUGCGGGUUGUCGA